rnacentral:lncRNA from 1 species
GGCCCCUCAUGGGGGGGUCCUAGUAAUCACAUAAUCACCAUUUUUUUGCCAAUAUAAUCACAUAAUCAUUAAAUAUUUGCUUAUCUUUAGUAAUCAAAAAAUCAUAAAACUAAAAAUACAGUCCUAGGUAAUCAAAUAAUCAUGAAAUAUUUGGCUUAAUAAUCAAAUAAUCAUUAAAAAAACGGCCAAGUAAUCACAUAAUCAAAAACCCCAUGAGGGCCCUCAAAAAUG